CUUCCCCUGCGAUGUUCGUAAGGGCAUAUAUUCCUUUGAACCAAUAAUUCGCUUUUUUAGCUGUUGGGUAAUGGUGGGUGUGAGCAUUCCUCCUUUGGAAUGAACCCGAAGCUAUUCGAUACGGCUAGCCUUGUCCCAGAGGUUCAAGCGGAUGGAGCCCAAUGCGGCAUUUGUGGGGGAAAC
rnacentral:other from 1 species